CACUGAGGCCAAGCAAGACAAGUCGGUUAACAUCUCGUUAAUACUCAUCAGCAGCGCUAAGUGUGAAAAACAUGGAUGCAUCUAGCUUCAAGAGCAGAUGCUGGUGACAGCCAGUGCAGGCAGGCUCCAGCCCAACAAGAAUGACUCCAUUUAAUUCUAAGGAUGCAUUGCUAUAAAAUAUGGAUUCCCAAAUGGUAAGUUAUGACAGGGAGCAAAGUCUCAGGAAUCAGAAGACCUGAAUUCCAGUCCUUCAUCUGCAGGCCUCUACCAUUGUGACCCUAGGCAAAUAAUUCUCUUGAACUUCAUCUUCUUCUCUGCAAACUCUUGAAUAAACAUCUGAGUUUUUAGAGAUCCCCAUUUGAAAAACAGAUCUGCCAUGUACUGGCUAAUGCUCUUGGCCAAAACAGUUAACCCCUUGGACUCUGUUUUCUCUUUUACGUUCAGAGGCACUUGGAUGGCUGGGAUUCCUUUAAUUCUUGAAGUGUUACGAUUUUAGAUAUAUAGACAGCUGUACGUAGUAUUUAUACUGAACUAAGUGGUGAAUCUCAAGAUUAUACUUAAAAAAUAAACUACUGAAGCUCUGAGUGGUUUCCUCAUUUUAAGUUGGGACCCUGACUAUCUUAUGAAUUCUGUAAAUAAAGUUACCAAGCAUUGCCUUCAUCAGUUUAUUUCCACUGAGUUCCACCUAAACUUUAAGAAAUCCAACCAAACAUUUCAUAGCAUAAAGUAUUAUCUUUAUCAAAAUGUUCUCUCGGUGUCUCAUCACUUUCUAAUCAUCUUCCCUUCCUGCACAUUCUCUGCCCAAAAUAAAUUCUUAGAUUUUUGUGUCAUAGCCAAAACAAUCAGGGUAAUGAGUAACUAUGUAUCACUCAUCAUGGGGCCUGCUAAAAGCUGCAGGAAGGCUGAGUUCUGAGUUUUUUAUUACAAGGGUGUUGUCUUCAUUAUUUUUGGAAUGUUUUGCCAUGAAAACAUUGAACAGUUAAGAAACAUUCUCAACUCUGCUGAUUAACAGUUUUCCACUCUGUUUCUUCACUGUUCUAAAGAAGCAGAAGGUGCACCCUUGUUUAAAUAAAAUGAUAAGAUUGAUUAUGCAAGCAAAGCUUAUCUUCACUUUUACCUCCACAGAUAAACUUGUUUUAACAAAGUAGAAUUUAAGAACAACCAUUUGGUAAAGGAAAGUAAUCCAGUAUUUAAGUAUAUAUUUUUUUAAUCUUUUGUAAAAUCUGGAGCCUUUUGUUAUAUUCUAGAAUAGUCCUUCAAGACCUAUACAUAGAGAAGAUGAUUUUAAGACGAGAAUAUCCCUUGUUACUGACUCUACCAUGCACAUGCAUUGGAAUAGGGUCAACUGAGGAGACUGCAGAAAUGGGAAGGAACGUGACAGUUAACGACAUGUUAGGUAGACUUGCCUACACGUUUAAUGGCUUAAACUAAUUCAUAAAUUUACUUUUUUAGGGAAGCUGAAAGUGUUGUGUCCUUAAAUACAUACUCAAACACUGAGGCCAAAAGCACAGAUAGCUCAAAGGAUAGUUGACUUCGUGAAAUCAGCAAACGUGAGACAAGAAACCAUCAGAAGAAAGACUGAUUUUAGUGAAACAAGAUUUUAAUAAGCUCUCAGCUAAACAGAAGCUGGCCAGCACCCAGAGAUUCUGCACAAUAAAGAAAGCAUUCCCUUCACAUGGCCGCCCACCGUGCUGAGCUGACGGAUUAUUGCAAGUCCUGCUCCUGGUCUGGUUGCCACGUCCACAGCUCCUUGUGCAUGCUUCCCAAGGACUCCAUUCCGACCAGCUACCAUCCACUAUGCAAAAGUAAACCAUUAUACCAUCGGAAUUGUUACCUUGCAUGAUUCCCAGCUAGAACAGCUCCAUCCUUUCUCCAUGUUAUCCUUGGAGUUGGCACACCUUCAGCAAUGCAUUCCAAUACAGCUGACUUAUUUAAAAGAAUUACAAGACUCUGGGGGCCACCGUUUAUGUUUGGAGGAACUGAACAAGAGAUGCACAUGAAAAAAUUCAGUUAUACUAAAUAAAACAGGCUGCAUGAAGACCCUGAAGAUGUAACAUGAGAAUGUUUACAUACCUAGGACCUUGAGGAUAAAGUGCUUGCUGACUUCUCCAGCUUCAUUUGAGGCAAUGCAGGUGUACUUUCCCGAAUCUUCCGUCUCUGCUUUGAGGAGCUGCAGGACCAUUCCAU